rnacentral:rRNA from 1 species
AUGGACUUAGAAGAUUGGCAACAAACCAAGUAUUUAGUUGUUCUUGAUGAUGUCCGUGAUGAAUCACUAUGCCACCAAAUCAUAUCUGCCUUUCCUCCUACUGCUGCUGGUGGUCAUUCUGCACUUCUGGUGAUCACCCACUCAUAUGCUAUAGCCCGUUCCUUCUCUCCAAACAAAGUCUUCCCGCCUCUGGAGCCUCUAAUCGAUUUUUUCUUUGUGAAAGGGGUUUCCCUUGUUGAGAAUAAUGAUACCCUGAAGCCAGUCAUUCAGUCUAUUAUCUCAAAAUGUGCACCCAAUCUCGAAUGCCUCAAGGCAUUCUUACAUGUUCUCUAUGUCAAUCCUAACAUACGAGAGCUUGAGAGAUUAUGUGACGCCCUAAGUAGUGAAUCUCCCGGCAAUUAA